rnacentral:rRNA from 1 species
GAUGAACGCUGGCGGCGUGCCUAAUACAUGCAAGUCGAGCGAACGGACGAGAAGUUUGCUUCUCUGAUGUUAGCGGCGGACGGGUGAGUAACACGUGGAUAACCUACCUAUAAGACUGGGAUAACUUCGGGAAACCGGAGCUAAUACCGGAUAAUAUUUUGAACCGCAUGGUUCAAAAGUGAAAGACGGUCUUGCUGUCACUUAUAGAUGGAUCCGCGCUGCAUUAGCUAGUUGGUAAGGUAACGGCUUACCAAGGCAACGAUGCAUAGCCGACCUGAGAGGGUGAUCGGCCACACUGGAACUGAGACACGGUCCAGACUCCUACGGGAGGCAGCAGUAGGGAAUCUUCCGCAAUGGGCGAAAGCCUGACGGAGCAACGCCGCGUGAGUGAUGAAGGUCUUCGGAUCGUAAAACUCUGUUAUUAGGGAAGAACAUAUGUGUAAGUAACUGUGCACAUCUUGACGGGACCUAAUCAGAAAGCCACGGCUAACUACGU